GUCCACGCCGUAAACGAUGUCUACUAGCCGUUGGGAGCCUUGAGCUCUUAGUGGCGCAGCUAACGCACUAAGUAGACCGCCUGGGGAGUACGGUCGCAAGAUUAAAACUCAAAUGAAUUGACGGGGGCCCGCACAAGCGGUGGAGCAUGUGGUUUAAUUCGACGCAACGCGAAGAACCUUACCAGGUCUUGACAUCCAGAGAACUUUUCCAGAGAUGGAUUGGUGCCUUCGGGAGCUCUGAGACAGGUGCUGCAUGGCUGUCGU
rnacentral:rRNA from 1 species